rnacentral:rRNA from 1 species
UUAGAUACCCUAUUAUACUAGCACAAGCCUUAAUUAUUAUUAGAUAUUUUCUUAAAAGUUAAAGAAUUUGGCGGUAAUUUAGUCUUGUUAGAGGAACCUGUUUUUGAAUCGAUACACCACGAAUAAUCUUACUUAUCUUUAUACUUUAAGCAAAGUUUUUAUACCAUCAUUAUCAGAUAAUUUUAAAAAGGUAAUUAUUAUUAUUUAGUAAAUUAAGUAAAAUUAGAUCAAGGUGAAGCUAAUAGAUAAGUUAAAAUGGGUUACAAUAAAUCUUAUUUAAUAUGAAUUAAUAUUUGAAACUAGUAUUAUAAAGGAGGAUUUAAUUGUAAUUAAAAUUUAACAAGUUUGAAAGAUAUAAGCCCUAAAUUAUGUACAUAUCGCCCGUCGCUA